UGGGUUCUACAAGAAGGUAGGCUGAGC
rnacentral:piRNA from 1 species